rnacentral:rRNA from 1 species
GAUGAGCAUGCGUCCCAUUAGCUAGUUAGUAAGGUAACGGCUUACCAAGGCUACGAUGGGUAGGGGUCCUGAGAGGGAGAUCCCCCACACUGGUACUGAGACACGGACCAGACUCCUACGGGAGGCAGCAGUGAGGAAUAUUGGACAAUGGGCGCAAGCCUGAUCCAGCCAUGCCGCGUGCAGGAUGACGGUCCUAUGGAUUGUAAACUGCUUUUAUACGAGAAGAAACACUCCUUCGUGAAGGAAUUUGACGGUAUCGUAAGAAUAAGGAUCGGCUAACUCCGUGCCAGCAGCCGCGGUAAUACGGAGGAUCCAAGCGUUAUCCGGAAUCAUUGGGUUUAAAGGGUCCGUAGGCGGUUUAGUAAGUCAGUGGUGAAAGCCCAUCGCUCAACGGUGGAACGGCCAUUGAUACUGCUGAACUUGAAUUAUUAGGAAGUAACUAGAAUAUGUAGUGUAGUGGUGAAAUGCUUAGAGAUUACAUGGAAUACCAAUUGCGAAGGCAGGUUACUACUAAUGGAUUGACGCUGAUGGA